GAUGAAGAACGUAGCGAAAUGCGAUAAGUAAUGUGAAUUGCAGAAUUCAGUGAAUCAUCGAAUCUUUGAACGCAUCUUGCGCUCCUUGGUAUUCUGAGGAGCAUGCCUGUUUGAGUGUCAUUAAAUUCUCAACCGCACUGACUUUGAAUUGGUGUGGCUUGGAUUUGGGGGGAAAAUUGUUGUGGGCUUUUUUGUAUAGUCUGCUCCCCUGAAAUUGAUUAGCGGUACCUUUGUGGAACUGUCUACAGGUGAGAUAAUUAUCUACAUCCUAGACAUCUGCUGGAAUGCUGCUUUCUAAACCUUACUUGUAUUGACAAUCUUGACCUCAAAUCAGGUAGGACUACCCGCUGAACUUAAGCAUAUCAAUAAGCGGAGGA
rnacentral:misc_RNA from 1 species